AAAGAUCGUAGUUUUACACUGUUUAUAUAAAAUGUUUGACCUUUUAUUUUAUUUAAAUUUUUUUAUGAUUAGUAUUUUUAUUGUUAUUAUAUGAUAAAACAUGAAUAGUUAUGUAUGACUAAUUUUUUUAAUGUUUUUUCAUAUUUUUUUUAAAAUAAGACUGAUGUUUAAACGUUAGAUACGAAAACCUAUAACUGCACUUAAA
rnacentral:pre_miRNA from 1 species